UUAAAAUUUAAUUUUAAUUUAAAAAAUUAAUUUUAAUUUUUACUUAUAUAUAAAUUUUAAGAUUUAAAUAAUUUAUUAUUUAAUAUAUAAAAUUAUUUUAAAAUAAAAUUUUUAAUAAAAAUAAUUAUAAUAUAAAUAAAAAUUGUGCCAGCAAUUGCGGUUAUACAAUUUAUAUAAAUUAAUUAAAUCAAUUUAAAUGAAAAAAUUUUAUUUUUUUUUAAAAAUUAAAUAAAUUUAAGAUUAAAUUAAAUUUAUUAAUUAAUUUUAAAAACUUAAAUUAAUUGAUUUUAAAAAUUUUAUUUAAAAACUAGGAUUAGAUACCCUACUAUUAAACCCCAAAAUUAUAAUUAAAAUAUUAAAUAUUAAAUUACUAAAUUUAAAAAAAUUGACAGUAUUUUUUUUUAUUAAAGAAACUUAAAAUUUAAAUUGAUAAUCCACAUUAUAAUAAACUAAAUUUAUAUUUUUAUAUAUUACUGUUUAAAUUUAAUUUUUUUAAUUAUUAUUAAAAUUUAUAUUAAUAAAAUAUUUCAAGUCAAAAUAUAAAUAUAAUUUAGAAAUUUAGAGUUACUUUAAAUUUUAAAAUAAUUUAACUAUUUUUAACUAAAUUUAAAUUUAGAAUUUAAUAAUAAAUUUUUUAAAUUUAAAAAAUUAAAGUUUUCUAAAAAUAUGUACAUAUUGCCCGUCAUUCUUAUAUUUUAUUGAAUGUAAGACAAGUCGUAACAAAGUAGUUUUACUGGAAAGUAAAAUUAGAAAUUU
rnacentral:rRNA from 1 species